GGAGGGUUAGCUUAGUGGUAGAACACAUACUUAACAUGCACGAGGUCCUGGGUUCAAUCCCCAGUAUCUCCA
rnacentral:tRNA from 1 species